UACGUAGGUGGCAAGCGUUGUCCGGAUUUACUGGGCGUAAAGGGCGCGUAGGCGGCCUACUAAGUCAGACGUGAAAUCCCCCGGCUUAACCGGGGAACUGCGUCUGAUACUGGAUGGCUUGAGUUUGGGAGAGGGAUGCGGAAUUCCAGGUGUAGCGGUGAAAUGCGUAGAUAUCUGGAGGAACACCGGUGGCGAAGGCGGCAUCCUGGACCAACACUGACGCUGAGUGAGCGAAAGCCAGGGGAGCAAACGGG
rnacentral:rRNA from 1 species